rnacentral:ncRNA from 1 species
UCAUGUUGACAACCGGCCGGGCGCCGAGCAUCAUUCGCCCAGGUGACAGCAGCGGUAAGCGGGUGGGAAUCCCGCGCGGUCGCGCCACUGUGAGCCGGAGCGAUCCGGCGAGCCAGACAUCGUCUGCCACCCGGGCCGUACA